rnacentral:tRNA from 2 species
GGGCCCGUAGCUUAGUCCGGCCAUAGCGACAGACUCAUAAUCUGUUGGUCGAGGGUUCGAGUCCCUCCGGGCCCA